UGCCAGCCGCCGCGGUAAUACGGAGGGUGCAAGCGUUGUUCGGAAUUAUUGGGCGUGAAGCGCGUGUAGGCGGUUCGUUAAGUCUGAUGUGAAAGCCCGGGGCUCAACCCCGGAAGUGCAUUGGAAACUGGCGAACUUGAGUACGGGAGAGGAAAGUGGAAUUCCUGGUGUAGGGGUGAAAUCCGUAGAUAUUCGGAGGAACACCAGUGGCGAAGGCGGCCAACUGGUGGUGCAUUGACACUGAGGUGCGAAAGCGUGGGGAGCAAACAGGAUUAGAUA
rnacentral:rRNA from 1 species